rnacentral:rRNA from 1 species
GACAGAGGAUGCAAGCGUUAUCCGGAAUGAUUGGGCGUAAAGCGUCUGUAGGUGGCUUUUUAAGUCCGCCGUCAAAUCCCAGGGCUCAACCCUGGACAGGCGGUGGAAACUACCAAGCUGGAGUACGGUAGGGGCAGAGGGAAUUUCCGGUGGAGCGGUGAAAUGCGCAGAUAUCAGGAGGAACACCGAUGGCGAAGGCAGGUCUCUGGGCCACUGACUGACGCUGAGAAGCGAAAGCAUGGGGAGCGAACAGG